AAAUUUAUUUUAUAUGCACACACUCCAAAGCGUUUUACUGCCUUCCAGUUUGGCAGUACUACAUUAUAUUAUUUUUCAUGGCUGUGAGAACUUCCUUUAAAAAAUAAGUGUGCAUGUUCAGGACACCAGGCACCAAUGAACAGACAUGUGCAUACCUGUGCAUAAGCAGGGAAGGAAAUGCUCUCAGCUAGCGUUGCCAGCUAUAAAGCUGGUGAGUGAAACAGAAAAAUGGUGGAACCGUGAGAGAAUCAUGAAGUAGUCAAUGUUGGAAGAGGUCUUUGAAGAUCAUCUGCACCAAGAUCUCCAACAUUUAAGGUUACAUACAUCAACUUCAGAAGAGACUUCAGACACGUAAUGUCAAUGUUUAAGCGUCAGCUCCCAAGGAAUGCAAGAAAAACAAAGAAAAAAUCCUGGUGUUACAAAUGCCACUCACUAUAAAAGUUCUCAGAAUUGGGGUGAUAAGCAUGAGGACUUUCCAAGGCUGUGCAGUUGAGGUGUGUUACAUCAACACUUCAGCUGGGGUUUGUGCUUCUAGAGCAGAUUUCCUCACUGUCUUCAUUAAGUGAGACUUUACUUGCUAGUCUCUCCACAGCAAAUGCCUUUGGAGAGAGCAUGCAGACCACAGGAUCAGACUAGAGCAUGUCAGAGAUGGGAAAAACCCUGAACUAUAAAUUAUGAGAUCUUCACAUCUUCUGCACCAACUACUUCUCUCCAAGUACUCACUCUUGUCCCCACACUCGUCAUUGUGGGUACAGCUGACAGGCACUAUCUCCAUUAAUACUGUUUCCAAGAAGGAAGGAGUUAAGAUUAUUUAUGUUACAAUAAUUUCUUGCAUCUUCCCUUUGAGCUGCUGCAAAGAACCAGAACAGGAAUUAAGUCAAAGUCCUUGAAGGUAGUCUUUUUACUUUUCCCACCACUUCAGCUGUCACCCCAGCAGAUGAGAAAGCUCACGAAUAGCACAGUGCUCCAGAUGCCAUUUAUUCUGAGGAUUUGUUUUUGAAAAAUGCUUAGUAUCAAUUUAAUCCUUGUGCUUUCAGGAGACCAAGAGGGAAAUGUGUGGGAUUUUUUCCUCUGAUAAUUAAUAUGCAAUUAAAAAGGGGGGAAGAAAAAUGGAUGGUAAACCGUCCCAUCACUCAGCAUUCCCCGUCUUCCACCCCACUCUCCCCCUCAAAAAAAAAAAAAAAACAACCCACAACUCUAGGACAAGUUUGAAAGAAGUUUUGAAAACAAAUUAAUCAUUUUGGGGUUGGGCUGUAGCAGUGCUUAUAUACACUAAGAAAUAAAUGUGAUAAACAAGAGCUGGU